rnacentral:snRNA from 1 species
CGAUGGGAGGGCAUUCUGGCUACCACAUCUAUUACCCAUGUAUUUUCCAGAGAUGGUUCUGCUACUCUGACUUGCUAAGUGGGGUCCCUUUUUUUUACCUUCAACUCUCCAUCUGCAUCCCUCCCACAACUCAGUUGAAAAGGAUGACCUUCCCAUUUAGAGAAGAAAUCAUUUUCAAGCAAGGGAAUCAAAGUUCUUGAAUUCCCCAAGUGUCAUUAUGAAACUAGCUCUGUUUGUGGAGGGUAAACAGUUUCCUUUAAUUUGCUAAGUCCUUCUACCUCUUUUACAAUAGAAGGAGAUAGUG